rnacentral:rRNA from 1 species
UACGGAGGGGGCGAGCGUUAUUCGGAAUUAUUGGGCGUAAAGGGCGCGUAGGCGGCUUUACAAGUCAAAGGUGAAAUCCCUCGGCUCAACUGAGGAACUGCCUUUGAAACUGUAAGGCUUGAGGCCGGGAGGGGGUAGCGGAAUUCCCAGUGUAGCGGUGAAAUGCGUAGAUAUCAGGAGGAACACCGGUGGCGAAGGCGCUCAUCUGGCCCAAUACUGACGCUGAGGCGCGAAAGCUAGGGGAGCAAACGGG